rnacentral:rRNA from 1 species
UACGUAGGUGACCAGCGUUGUCCGGAUUUACUGGGCGUAAAGAGCGCGCAGGCGGUCGUUCAAGUCGAGUGUGAAAGCCCCCGGCUCAACUGGGGAGGGUCACGCGAUACUGAUCGACUCGAAGGCAGGAGAGGGUAGUGGAGUUCCCCGGUGUAGUGGUGAAAUGCGUAGAUAUCGGGAGGAACACCAGUGGCGAAGGCGGCUUUCUGGGCCUUACCUGACGCUGAGACGCGAAAGCGUGGGGAGCAAACAGG